GGGUUAGUGGUCUAGUGGUAUGAUUCUCGCUUUGGGUGCGAGAGGCCCGGGGUUCGAUUCCCCGCUAACCCC
rfam:Trichuris muris Edinburgh genomic scaffold, scaffold247